AAAAAGACAAACUGUGGGUUUCCAUUUUAACGUUUGACUGUCCGUCUUAUAUGAUUUAUUUUAUAAUUAAUAUUUUUAUUAUUGUUAGAUGAUAAAACAUGAUUAAUAUUUUAUGCGUGACUUAUCUUUUUAAUUUUUUUCAAAUAAGACGGACGGUCAAACGUUGGACACGAAAACCAAGGUUUGUCUUUUUC
rfam:Oryza rufipogon genomic scaffold, chr03